CUGCCCGGAUCCCGGGGCCGCCCGCCACUCCGGCCCGGCGCGCCGAACGCUGCCCGGACUCCCGGCGCCCACAGGUGAAAGAUUCAAGAUUCUCAAGUCCAGCUUCAGCUCAAGCCCUGCCCUAUCUAAAGCAGAAGAUACCCCCUAGUUGGUUCUUUUCUUACCCAAUAGGUUCACAGCAUCAAGGAAGUGGACUCCCACAAAAGUCCUUGCAAAUAGCAAGAAUCUUUAAGCAACUUGCUUUGCAGUCUUCUGACACUCGACAUUGAACUUAUACAGAAGCUUGAAAAAAUAAUAAUAAAAAUUUUCUCUUUCAGAGUUUUAUUAGUAAUAAUGUCUAACAACUGCUCACAUUCUCACAUUGAUUCCAUUUCAACGGAGUCAAUGAAGGAUUCCCUCUGCUAGUUUUUACCUUCAUUGUUUAGGG